AGUUGCGAUCAUACCAGCACUAAUGCACCAGAUUCCAUCAGAACUCUAAAGUUAAGCGUGCUUGGGCGAGAAUAGUACUAAGAUGUGCUUUGUCACAGGACUUUUACAGACACAGGCA
rnacentral:rRNA from 1 species